AGGACUAAGAAACUUGAGGCUAGGCUGACCCCAUGGUUGUUAUGAUUAGAAAUCCGAGGCCACUGGAAACCCGGAGCUGCUGACCAACGAGUCACAGGGUAACUUCGCCUUCGCAUGGGGAAACGGGCUGGUGCAGUGGUGUCAUCUUGGCUCAGUGCAGCCUCGACUUCCUGGGAUCCAGCGAUCCUCCCGCUUCAGCCUCUAGAGUAGCCGAGACCACAGGAUUUGGAAGAGGGCAGGAGAGAAAAAUGAACUGCAAGACUCCAGCACAAGAGGUGGGAUUGCUGGCAGAUGUCUGCUCCCUCUCCAAACCUAAUGAACAUCUCAAAGUGCCAUCCACUUUCCUAUACCCUUGAUCUGUGAAAUGGAUCACUGACGCUUUCUCUGUCUUUCCGGAAAUGCAAAACAGG
rnacentral:lncRNA from 10 species